rnacentral:ribozyme from 1 species
UUUUUGUCUUUUUCCUUCUUGCGUGUUUUCUUUCUCUUUCUGUUUUUACUUUUUGGUCGCCCAUUAAUUCCUUUUUGAAAAGAAAAACAAAGGCCCCUCUCUUCUCUUCUUCUCGUCGAAGAGAAAAGAAAAGAGAAGUAAGGAAAGUCAAUUUG